rnacentral:rRNA from 1 species
GAGGAGAAGCCCGGAGAUGGGCACUGAGACAAGGGCCCAGGCCCUAUGGGGCGCAGCAGGCGCGAAAACUCUGCAAUAAGCGAAAGCUUGACAGGGUUAUUCUGAGUGAUUUCCGCUAAGGAAAUCUUUUGGCACCUCUAAAAAUGGUGCAGAAUAAGGGGUGGGCAAGCCCGGUGUCAGCCGCCGCGGUAAUACCAGCACCCCGAGUGGUCGGGACGAUUAUUGGGCCUAAAGCAUCCGUAGCCGGUUCUACAAGUCUUCCGUUAAAUCCACCUGCUUAACAGAUGGGCUGCGGAGGAUACUAUGGAGCUAGGAGGCGGGAGAGGCAAGCGGUACUUAGUGGGUAGGGGUAAAAUCCGUUGAUCCAUUGAAGACCACCAGUGGCGAAGGCGGCUUGCCAGAACGCACUCGACGGUGAGGGAUGAAAGCUGGGGGAGCAAACCGGAUUAGAUACCCGGGUAGUCCCAGCUGUAAACGAUGCAGACUCGGUGAUGAAUAGGCUUCGUGCCUAUUCAGUGCCGCAGGGAAGCCGUUAAGUCUGCCGCCUGGGGAGUACGGUCGCAAGACUGAAACUUAA